rnacentral:rRNA from 1 species
UACGGGGGGGGCAAGCGUUGUUCGGAAUUACUGGGCGUAAAGCGCGCGCAGGCGGCCUCGCGCGCCCGACGUGAAAGCCCCCGGCUUAACCGGGGAGGGUCGUUGGGGACGGCGGGGCUUGAGGGCGGGAGAGGGUGGUGGAAUUCCCGGUGUAGUGGUGAAAUGCGUAGAGAUCGGGAGGAACACCCGUGGCGAAGGCGGCCACCUGGGCCGACCCUGACGCUGAGGCGCGAAGGCGUGGGGAGCGAACGGG